AAAGAGCAUUAAUCAGUGAAAUAGACAAUUUUGAAUUUUCAAAAGUUCUUUCAUCAAAAAAUCAAAAUUUUUAUUACAUAGGUACAGGCACUUCUCUGGCGGUGCUUGUGAUAAGAUUACCUACAUAUGUAAUCUGAUUUUGAUUAUCUUGUAAGUUGUAUGUGUCAUACUUCAUUUUAAAAAAUGCUGUUUAAACCCUGCUGUGAAUAUUGUCCCGCUACGAAUGUUCCCUGCUACAUUAAUUUCGCGCGAUGAAUUUUCCUAACACCCAAAAAUUUACCACCUUAACGUGGCCUCUUCUACAUUAUAAAAAAGUCCUGCCUACUUGUAUCUCACUCUACCGCAAAUGUUUCCACAAUAUGAAGUGCUCGUUUCAAAAUCACUCCCUUUAGAUAGCGAGCGGUUAUUUUGUGUACUCAGCCAGGCAUUGUUUGUACAUAUGUAUUACCAAAUAUAUAGAUAAAAUUAUUGCCUAGGUAUCUAACGUAAAACGUAUGAACAACAAUGAUAAUUUAAAUGAGCGGUAGGUGGCAAUCUGGCCAAGUAGGUCACCUUUAUCAUACCACAGCGACACGUCGAGUAUAGUGGUAGUGGUGUCCUGUUUUGCGUCUUUUUUUCGUGGUUUCUUUUCCUCUCUGAGCCCUUAUUUAUUGGUGAUUUGUGCUAAGAAUGGAGUGCAUUUAAAACCUUUGAUUUUUCAUGAUGUAGUCGAUUACUUUUAGAACGAACGAGUGUUUAGAAUUUCUCUCAAACUAAUUCAGACAUCAUUUUCAACUUCGCCUAGUUUCUAUUCAAUGUUGGUCCUAGCUAGAAGUGAUAUAGAAAGACCUGGACACAAAUUUUGAAAUGGAUGUAAAUAAGAGUACAAGAUAUGGUCCAAAUGAUGAAGAUGAAUUCAUUCCUCCCUGACAUACUUUUCGAAAAUUUUGAUCACAUAAUUAUGGAUGAGUAAUUCCGAGAAGACGCAGAUUACCUUAUUUAGAGGGCAAGAUUCGAAUCGCUGCUUAACAACAGAUAUAAAUACGAGACACCUUCAGUUGUUUGUGAACCAGAGAGGUAUGGAAAUUUUACUUGCAUUAUGACAAGCAAUGUUUCUCGUUUAAGUUUCACUUUUUGAUAAACUUUUCAUGUGUUAAUCACUAUAACAAUUGGUACAUAAUUUUUUUAAUGAAAAUAAUGUUUUACCGGAAGCUUUUUAAAUGUAUAGGUACUUGUAUAUAGAAAUAUCGAUGCUGAUCAAUGUAGGUAUAUACAUAGAAGUACUAUACUUAUACUUGUAAUUCCUGAAGUAGGCAUAUUAUUACCUUAGUAAAGGAAGAGUAGUCUUCCAAAACAAAGAUUCAAAAAAUGUGUCUAUGAAUUUUCUGCUUAUAGGGUGUAAUACACACCACAAAAUGUUAUAAUCAUUCAAAGCAACCUUAGUAGGUACCUAUUCCUUUUGGAAAUUCGGCUACGAUACUAUAAAAAUAAUGCCACAACAAUUAAUAAUAUUACAAAAUAAUUAUGAACGAAGUAAUAAUUGUUAUAAAAACUAUAAAAAAUUGAUGAAAAGUAUGGGCUUAUACCUAUACCCUAAAAAAUACUGGUGUAUAGAAAGGUAGGUAUGAUAUAAAAAGCUCCCAAAUAUUCAUUCUCGUUUUUCAAAAUAAAUUGAACAGAACUGACGUGAGAUACUUCCUCAAGUACCUAUAUGUUGUCACAGUUAUAAAUCACGAUGAAUAUUAAGUAUUUUUCAUGCACCAGUAGGCAUAAUAUUAUUUUAAAAAAGACCACAGCCGAUUCAAUUUUCUGAAUGAUUAUGGCCGAUUGACGAUAACUCAAGCUAAAGCUCCAGAUGUUCGAUUAACGCUGUAACUUUUGACACACGUGUGCAAGAUCCGUACCUUCUUUAAUUGAAAUGGAUAAAUAAUCAAUCGCGUAAUUCAAUUCCAAUUAAAGGUGUCUUUUGUUCAGAACCUUAAUUCAAAGUCACUUCCUUGGAUUUUUUUGCUAUAUUCUGAACAUAUGAGGGAUUGUGCGGGAGGGAAGGUGUAAAGUCAGAGGGAUCGGGUCGAAAAAAAUCAUCUGAUUUUGAACUUAACGCUUUCAAGAUACUUACAUUUAAGUUUGAGUAAUAAUAACAAUAAUACAUAUAAAAAGUUUAUAAAUUAAGUACUUUGAAACCAAGUGAGAAAGUUUAUAAAAUUACAAAAUAUAUUGCAAACAAAGUACCUACAUAAUAAAAUCUAUAAAACUAUAAAAAAUUAGGAAAUAAUAACAUCAUUCAAAGUGACGAACUUUAGUAUUUCUUUUGGAAAUUGGGCUACGAAAAUGAUGCCUCAACAGUAAAUAAUAGGUACCUAUUACAAAAUAAUUAAUUUAAUUAUGAACAAAGUAAUAUUCACUAGGUACCUACUUCGUUCAUAACAAACUCUGUUGAAAAUUGCACAUUACAGUUAUCAUAAUGUCUAGAAUUAAUACCUACAUUUCAUUGAAGGAAAUGUAAUGUUUUUCACAUUUCACUACUCCAGCAUAAUAAUACAUAUGUAUAACCUGCACAAUCCUUUUUUUGAGAACAGAUAAUUGAUCUUUUUGCAUCGAAAUGCGGACCCAUUUUCAGUUUUUUAUUUUCAUAAAACAUUCGCCACUUCUUCCAUGAACAAAAAUAUACUGCAAGUGGUCUUAUAAAACACUGAAUAUAAAUGGCUGAAUCUUACAUUGUGGCCUACUUUCUGCCUCAACAACUCCUUUAUGACAAGGGAACUUCCCGAAGGUGUGACACGCCGAUCGAAAAAAUUUUUUCACAGGCGGAUAGAGCAUCAAAAAAUAUAUUAUGAGCCAAAAUUUUAGCUGCUGAGGUUCACAUGGGGGAAACUUAUGGGGGUUUGAAUAUCGAAAAAUCGCAAAAAUACACAAAAAUACACUGAAAAAAAUAUAAAAAUUGAAAUCAUUCGGCACCCUGUUCACUUCAGCAGCUAAUUUUUUGGCCACGAUCUACCAUCGAUAUAUGACGCCUUAUGGUGGACAAGUCGCCGCGAUCUGCGUGUAACACCUUGGGGGUGAAUUUUUCCCCACCCCCUAAUUUUGGGCGAAACUUUCGAAAGAAAAUCUGGGGCAUGUGAUAUAUCGAAUUGUAUGUUUUUUGUGACGCUGAAUACGAAUAUGACGUCAGAUUUUUGAUUGCGGACAAGUCGCUGCAAUCCGUGUGUAACACCUUCGGGAUGAAUUUUUCACUUAUUGAAAAGAAUAAAGAAAUGAAAAAUCAAAAUAACUCGUCAUCCUGUUUGCUUUGCAGCUAUUUUUUUUUUUUUAUCAUGAGCCAUCGUCGAUAUAAUAAUGUCCAAGGAUGGACAAGUCGCCAAGAUUCGCUUGUGACACCCGAGGGAUGAUUUUUUUACUCGUAAAAAAUGAUAUCAUUUUUAAUAAUUUUUGGUUUGCACAAAAAUUCAUUAUUCAUGUUCAAAAGCAAAAAAAAAUUAAUUAUACCUACAUUUUCUGUCAAAAAUUAACUCGUAAAAACAAAAAUUGUGAAGAAAAGUUUUUAAAAAACUUGAGCCCGAGGUGCGAUUUGAUCUCCGCAUCUUCUGAUCAAUAAUCUCGCACCAUGUGCCACCGGGCUAGCGCUGCAGUUUGCCAGAAUGAGUUUUUUGACAGUAUACACGUUGCUAAACAGCGUCGAAAACUACCUCCCCCCUCCCCAUCACGCACGUGUACGUAUUACGUGUACUAUUUCAUGUGUUGCACGAACAAAACACUUUUUUGAACUUUUAACCCUUUGGGGAGGUACUGGGGGCAGUGGAUGGGGUCCAAUCAAAAAUCUGACGUCUUAUUCGUGUUCAGCGUCGCCAAAAACAUACAAUUCGAUAUAUCACAUGCCCCAGAUUUUUUUUCAAAAGUUUCGCCCAAAAUUAGGGGAUGGGAAAAAUUCAUCUUCAAUAUGUUACAUUGUUACACACACGGAUCGAAGCGACUUGUCCAAUCAAAAAUCUGACGUCAUAUUCGUAUUCAGCGUCACCAAAAACAUACAAUUCGAUAUAUCACAUGCCCCAGAUUUUCUUUCGAAAGUUUCGCCCAAAAUUAGGGGGUGGGGAAAAAUUCACCCCCAAGGUGUUACACGCAGAUCGCGGCGACUUGUCCACCAUAAGGCGUCAUAUAUCGAUGGUAGAUCGUGGCCAAAAAAUUAGCUGCUGAAGUGAAUAGUGGUGUUAAAAAAUAUCGAUAGUAUCGAUACUUGGCUGUAUUCGAUACUUAUCGAUACUUUUUGAGCGAGUAUCGAAUACAAAAUUUCGUUAAAAUUUAGCAAAAAUGGUGCAAAAUAUGGUUAAAACUUCCUCAAAAUGCGAGUAAAAGCAUGAAAAAAACAAAAAUACCAAAAACUGUUCAAAUUUUUGUGAAAUUCCAGCUGUUGUCAAAUUGUCACUGUAUUUUUCGUUUUUUCCUCUGGGCCAUGGCCCAUGGUAAAAAAAAAAAACACCGGCAAAAAUGUGAAAAAUUGGGGGUAUCGAUCGAUACUUUUGGAGAAUCAUUCGAUACUAAUCGAUACCUUUUUUCGACGAUACUUAACACCACUAGAAGUGAACAGGGUGCCGAAUGAUUUCAAUUUUUAUAUUUUUUUCAGUGUAUUUUUGUGUAUUUUUGCGAUUUUUCGAUAUUCAAACCCCCAUAAAUUUCCCCCAUGUGAACCUCAGCAGCUAAAAUUUUGGCUCAUAAUAUAUUUUUUGAUGCUCUAUCCGCCUGUGAAAAAUUUUUUUCGAUCGGCGUGUCACACCUUGUGAGUUGAUUUGAUUUUAUGAAGAUUAUAUAUGGUUAGAUUAUGGAAGUAAAUUUGAUUGCACUGUGCAGUCCAUAUUUUAAUUUGUAGGUACCUACUGAUUUUGACAUCAAAACAAAAUUUUCACAAAUCGAUGAAGUAUUAAUAAAUUUGAACAUAAAUAUUUAAUUUUUGAAAAUAUCUGAUAGAAAAAAUCAUGUGUGAUGUUCUCCAAGAAAAGAUAUUAGGCUUUGUCUUUUCAGGCGUUCGUUGGUAAUGCAGAACAAGAAUAUUCGAUUUUUCAAAUUAAAUCGUUCAAAAUAAACUUGGGUAUUCAUUUUGGAAAUUCGACUAUAAAAAUAAUACCACAACAGUAGAUAAUAUUAAGUUACAAAUUACAAAACAAUUAUAUGAACGAAGUAUUAAUAAAUGUUACGAAACAAAACUAUAAAAAAUUAGGUAAUGAAAAAUCGAAUUAUAGCUUUUCAAACAUAAAAGUCUAUUAAACAAAAUAUAAAAUUACAUAAACGUUUCAGCUAAAUGAAUGAUCAUUUUAAAUUUCGGAAACUCGAAUCAAAAUCACUCUGUUGGCCUAUAUUGAAAGAAAGUCAAUGAAUAAAUCAAGCUUUACACUAUUGUGUGUCGUUUUCUUUCAUUAAGUAAACUCUAAAUAUUACAUCAGAUAUGAUGAAAAAUACAAUCAUUCGAUUAAGAAAAUUCAUAUUGAAGAACAAAAAUGCACACUUACAGAAAUUGCUUUUCAAAGGUAUUCAAAAACUGUGAUUCUGAAUUUUUGCGUUGAUAAACACUAUAAUAUAAUUUAUAAAGUACCAUGAUUUUUUGUAAUUCGAAUCAUAAAUUUUAAUCACGUUGGUAUACGAUUGUAUUGCCGGAUGAUUUCCAUGAGUGUAAUAUAAAUGUCAAUGUUUCUGCUGAGGUAUAUUACAGGCAUACACGACAAUAUGAACGCAACUAAUUAAAAUAGAUACCUAUAAAGUAAUUGCAAUUUUAUAGCUAACAAUAAGCUCCUCCCUAUGAGCCGUAAAAACUGUACAAUAAUACAAACAAAAAUAUUUAAGAAAUCUACAAAAAAUGUCGAAAACAAAUGAAUUUCAAGUUUGAGUAGGUAUAAUAACAACAAUAUAAAAAGUUUAAAAAUUAUUUUGAAAACGAGUGAGAAAUUUAUAAAAAAAUAAUUGUUAACGAAGUAGGUACCUACCUACAUAAUAAAAUAUUAUAAAACUAUAAAAAAUUAAUGAAAAAUCAAAUCAAUUAUUAAUAAGCAAAUUCUCUGCAUUUUUCUUACUUUCCUCGGUGUCUCAGACUGAAUGAGCAUUGAGCAGGAUUGACAUUUUUUUUUUUGACGGAAAAAGUCGAUGGUAUAUCGCGAAAAAUUAGGUACCUAUCUGUAUCUUCCUAUUACAUAUUAUGAUACUUAUCUACAUACUUUUAUUUUAUUCUAUGUACGUAUACAGAUUUUAAUCACUCAAUAGGUAAAGUUCUCAUGUAUUGUUGAAAUGUAUUUUUUUGUUACUAAAUUUUCAUUAUCACUCUCUUUUUUUAUUUUGUAACUUUAGUAAUAGAUACUGCAUCUACUUGUAUGAAUGUACGCUUGUUGUAAAAUGGGCCAUUUUAAAAAUUAAACAUUUUAUUUUAAA